AAGCUUCGUAAAUAUCUUCCAUCUUCACGCUUUUUAAUGUUUAAAUUUUUUUUAUAUACUUUAGCGAAAAUAAUCCCGGAAGGUAUCAAUUUAAGACCCACCUGAAAAUCAUUGGUAUCAUAAGAUUCUACAUACUUUUCUACACAAUAAUAAUUUCUCAUUGCUUAGUAAAUACAUUCUAUUGUCCAGUAAUUUUACGAGCGCUGUUUUAUUUUAAAAUUAUUUUAUAUACUUGGUACUAUGAACAUAUACUUUGUUUACAUAAUUAUCACUUCGUGAACUCAGGAAUUAUUCUCCAUCUUCCAAAAAUUUUAGAACUGUUUUUCUAAGUUUAUUUUAUGAUAAGGACGAAGGCCGGCUUUUUUAUGAAUGCAAAAUGAAGAGACCAUUUGAUUUUACGCCGUUAGUACGACAAGUGUAAAUGUUUUUUAGCUAGUCCCAAUUUUGCCCGACUAGACCUUAUGUCUAGUUGGGGUUUGCUGUACUCCCAAUAGAUUAGCCUAGCCUUACGUUAAAGGUCAUAUUUUUGAUAUUUUAUAUUUAUAAAACUUGAGUUUUUUAAGUUCAGUAUGUGUAUCUGCCUAAAGUUUUUUUGCAAUUUACAGGUGUGCUGUAAGCUGUAAUGUGUAAGGGAUUUGUGAACUCAUCAUCUCUUCCACAGUAGAGUUGUUGCUUGAAAGCUUAAAGACCAGCAACCAGUUUUCCUGAACGGAACACAGACUAGCAAAAUUACUGCGUUUGCGACGCAGACGCGGGAGAACACAAUAUUAGCAUUUUAAGGCUGCAUUAUGUUUGUUGCAGGCCACGAUUAAGAUUAAUAAGCAAAUUCAUGUUAUUCAUUAGAGAACAAUCUACAUUAAUAUUUUAUUCACCUGAAAUACAAGUUUACAAAUGUAACCAGUGUUGCGGCUUCGUAAAACUUAUUAAAACGCAUAACUAUGAUACAAUAAUAUUAACUAAAAAAACUUGACUCACAUACAAAAUCACAUAACAAACUUACAGAUUAAGAAAAACUAUAAAAUAUGUACAUUAUAUGUACUUAUUUAAAUCAAUAGAAUUCUUGUACAGAGGAAAAGUUACAAAAUGGCAAUAAGUGAAUGACAAGGAGAUAAUAAAAUUCAAAAUGACUAGAUUAUUAUCACACUCUCACACGGGAAAUUACACUUCAAAUACGUAAGAAUUAUAUUUCAUAUUGUAUUUUGAGGGCAGAAGAAACGACAUUGAAAGUCCGGAUAAGGCCAGUCAUUCGUCUGUUAGUUAAAU